rnacentral:lncRNA from 1 species
AAUCACAUUAACUAAGAAAGCAACUUAAACAAUUGGUUUUCGGAUUCAUAGAAUUGAUUUAAAUGGAACUAAUUGAAAUGAAAAUCCAAUUCUCAUUAAAGAGACAAAACCAUUUUGUUCUCAUCUUAUUUGGGCCAAAAACAAUGACCUCAACAAUUGAGCCAUUAAUUAAUAAACAUAAACUUUUGGGGUCACUUUGUAAAAACACAAGAGUCCACAACUUCAUGUAAUUACAACUAGAACCCAAAAUUUUAACAAUAAUAAAAACAUCAAUAAAGGAACAAAACAAUUUGUCCUUUAGAGUUUUUGGGCCUUAACGUAAAAACGUAAACUUUUGGGCCAAAAUACAAAAACACAAAAGUAUCAAAACUUUAUGUAAUUGCAUAAAAGGCCCAAAAUCACCCCCACUUGGGGUUGGCCGGUUUUAGAGUGAAAAAGGAGUGUGAAAGGGUUUUUGGCAAGUGGUGCAUGCAAGUGGAAUAUGCAAGUGAAAUAGGUGGGUGAGGAUAAAGGUGAAUGGGAUGGGUUGUAAGAAAAAUGUUUUGUGAAACAUUAAUAGCAUUUAUCAUCCUCACCAAUAAUCCAUCACCCAUAAAAAAUAAACCAAAACUUUAUGAAAAACACUAAACACUUUGAAUCAAAAUUCCAAACCUUUUUGUUCUUGGUAAGAAACUCAAGCACAUUGAAGAACACACAUGAAAACUCAUAAGAGCUCCAUGAAUGUUUUCACUCAUUAAAACUCAAAUUUUCACAACACAAAAGAGGGUUAAUAUCCUAGGGUACUUAGGGGUUCCAAAAGUCACUUUAAAACCAUUUUAACAAGACAAACAUGAACCCAAAAAUCCACCCUUUGGAUUUGGCCGAAUUUCCCAACAUACAUGGCACCAAAUUUUAGUUCCAAUAUUCAUGCUUUAAUGAACUACAUCUACAACAUUUGAGAUGCUAAAUUUUCAAGCAAAAUUUAUAUUCAAAAGCAAGAACAAAGCUUGUAACAUUUACAACAUUUAAAUCACAAAUCAUGAAAAUCACAAAACGCAAAAGGAUUCACCAUAAACUAGACCUAGGCUCUGAUACCACUUGAAGGAAAAAUUUUGUCCUAGCUAAGAACAUGUGAGAAUAUUUGAACACAUAUGCAAACUAUUAACACAUUAAAGUAGGAAUGCAUUCAAAAACAAUUCUAAAAACCCAUGACUUUCAAAGCCUAGUGAAUUGUGAACCAUAAGACUCUUUAACAACAUUAAAGAGAAGGUAAGAUUUUAGAGAUUCAUUACCCUUGAAGCUCAUCCUUGUUUACACAAGGGAUUCACCCAAGUGGAGGGCCUUCAAGUCACCUCCUAGCUCCUUGGAUCUUCCUUGUGAUUUUCUUCCCUUUUGAUGCUCCUUUACUCCUUGAGGAUGUGAGGAAAGUGUUGGAAAUGUGCCCUAAAACCAAUCAUAUGAUGAUACUUUACGGACAUUUCACAUGUUGAACUAAUCUAGUUUAAUAUCAAGGGUAAAGAUUAUUGUUUAAGCCAUCUCAUAUAAAUGUUAUAUGCUUAAACGAUAAGUCCAAGGAAUAUGUAAUUAGGAGAAUGUAAUUUAAACAAGUUAGAUUCAUGAGACCAUUCUCUUUCGUAUACAUAUCCUAAACGUUCCUGAUCAUAGGAUUGCCAAUUGGGCAUUGACAGUCCGUUAAGAUCAGUACAUGUUAUGUCUUCUCUUAGUGAGAGUGACUAGUCUCGAGUCAUUGGUGUGAUUGACACCAAGACAAGCAUGUAGGUGCUCAAUAGCGAAUAAGUCCACUGAACACGAUCAACGAGGAGUUCUCAUACUCAUGUCACAUGAGAACUCAUGGUUGGGAUAAUGCAAAGUAGUCCUUUGACCUGAGGCAUCAUAGUUGUCUUGUGGUUAGGUACUUGAUCUUUGACUAUGUCAAAGUCACCCCAUCAGAGGGUGUCCACGGCAUAGUUGGGGUUAAGACACUUAGCCAUGGAGGCAAGUGAAUGCGCAACAAGGGAUCUCUAACCUUCAAACUGUUUGAGGGAGAAUACUCUAUGAUAUGAUUAAGAAUCUCUGGCCAGAGUAUGAAUGAGAUUUAGGAAGUCAUUCCAAAUCACAUUCAAGGUAAUCAUAUAAGUAAACGAAUCACAUUGGAUAGUCGACAUGAAUAAAAACUAUCAAACCAAACAAUGUGGUCAAGAGUAUUGUAUUAGAGAAAGACCGUAUUGCAUUGUAAUCCUAAACUGAAUAGGUUCUCCACCUCUUCUGAUUAGCUUGGGUAACCAUGACACACUGCUAGAUAUCACUCAUGGUUUGUGGAAGCCCUAAACGUGUAUAAUCACUAAAGGGAGAAUUGAAAGUAAGUUUCAAUUCACAAUCGAUUUGAAAGUGUUCUAAUCGCCCACUGCCUCGCUAAAAGGAACCUAAUGGAUCGUACACCGUGUAAGGCAGAGAUUGAAGAAACAAUGGAGAUGAGUAAGAAUAAUUAAAUGGUUUAAUUAUUUAUGGCAAUGAUUAAUUAAUAUGAUUAAUUAAUCAAACGAAUAAAGUUCGUUAAAAGACCACGGGUUAGUUUUGGGCCUCAAGGCCCAAUGGGCUUCGAACGUCAAGCCCAUUGACUUAAGUUGUAUGACAACUUAAUGACAAAUAAUUCACAAAGGCCUUAAAAGCCCAAUGAAACCCUAUGGCCGGCCAUUUAGAGUAAGGAGUGGGUUUUGGACUUAAUUACAAGUUUGCCACUCAAAUAAAUGUAGGUAUAAAUAUGACUUUAUAGCCAAAAUUCAUUAGGGUUUCUUUUAGAGAAUUGGAGAGAACAUAUCUUUCCAUUUCUCUCUCUAAGAGGCCGGCCCCCUUGGAGGAGAUUAGCUAGCAAUCUUACAUCCUCCAAGGUCACUCAUUUCUUCUUAAAGUCUCUCCUUGGUGUGGAAAGCUAGAGGUUCUCAAUUUUGGGAACUUGGAGAAUCCUUUUCAACCAUCCUCAUCCAAGAAAGCAUGGAUCUAAGAAGCAAGGAAUGAAGGCCCUAUCUCUUGGGUGAUUAUCCUUUGCUUAUGCAAAGAGGAAUCAACAAAGGUAUAAAUUUCUCAACUCACUUUGUUCUUGAGUUGAGUAUUGGUUCACCUAACUACUAGGCUUGAAUUUCAUGGUUAAUGUUUUGUUUUUAAGUGCAUGCAAGCAUGAUUCCGCCUUUUAAUUGUUAAAUGCAUGCUAUAGAUGUUGCUUAAAUGAACAUGUUUUUCACAAAAUUUCCUUCAGAAAGGAUCUCCAAAACACCAAAGGUUUGGUGUCUCUAAGUCUCCACACCAAGGAUGAGGUGUGAAGAUGAAAUGGAUGACUUAGAGAAGAAAAAGAUUGCUAGCCCUUUCUUCCCUAUGUGGCCGGCCUCCUUGUAGAGAAAGAGAGAAAAUGUUUCACCUCUUUACCUCAAAGAAAAAACCCUAAUGAGGUAAAAGCAAUAAAGAUGCUUUUAUAUCUCAUUUCUUAGGUGAGUGGCAAACUUGCAAUUAAGCAAAACUUCCCACUACCCUUGCUAUGGCCGGCCAUCUUAAGUGAUUGGGCUUAUUGCCCAUUUUUUUUUAGUUGUCAUACAACUUGAACAUAAUGGGCCUUGUGGACCAAAACACUUUUGAGGCCCGAAACCCAAAACCAACUUAAAAGCCCAAUACGAACAUUUCGUAUAAUUAAUUAACUAAUUAAUUAACCUUGACCAUUUUUCAAUUAAACCAUUUAAUUGCAUAUCCAUUUCAUUUAAAUUCUUCACUUUCAUCCUUACUCGGUGUACGAUCCAUUAGGUUCCAUUUAGCGAGGUAGUGGGCGAUUGUUACUCUUAACGAUCGAUUGUGAAUUGAAACUAUUUCAAUUCUCCCUUUGAUUAGUGUUUGCUAAUCUUCAGGGCUUCCACAAACCAUGAGUGACACCUAGCAGCAUGUCAUGGUUACCCAAGCUAAGUAGAAGUGGUUGGAGAACCUAUCCAGUUACAACUACAAUGCA